rnacentral:rRNA from 1 species
AUUGAACGCUGGCGGCAUGCCUCACACAUGCAAGUCGAACGGCAGCACGGGAGCAAUCCUGGUGGCGAGUGGCGAACGGGUGAGUAAAGUAUCGGAACGUGCCCAGUCGUGGGGGAUAACGUAGCGAAAGUUACGCUAAUACCGCAUACGAUCUAUGGAUGAAAGCGGGGGAUCGCAAGACCUCGCGCGAUUUGAGCGGCCGAUAUCAGAUUAGGUAGUUGGUGGGGUAAAGGCCCACCAAGCCGACGAUCUGUAGCUGGUCUGAGAGGACGACCAGCCACACUGGGACUGAGACACGGCCCAGACUCCUACGGGAGGCAGCAGUGGGGAAUUUUGGACAAUGGGCGAAAGCCUGAUCCAGCCAUGCCGCGUGCAGGAUGAAGGCCUUCGGGUUGUAAACUGCUUUUGCACGGAACGAAAAGGACUGCCCUAAUACGGUGGUCCCAUGACGGUACCGUAAGAAUAAGCACCGGCUAACUACGUGCCAGCCGCCGCCGUAACAC